AUGCCUUUGUCUGCUUUAAAAUCGAGCUUGGGAUUUUUUUUGCAACAGGGUUGCGAGAUGUCUUCCUAUGUACUGAUAUGGCUUUUAGUUCGAAGUUGCUUCGACCUCCUGUGCACUGACAUUGGAUAUACCAUGCUUAAUUGUCUAGGUGCUAGUGCAUUAGCUUAUAAAUUGGAAUCAACUGAUUUUUAUAAUCUUAUUAUAGCCAUAAAAUUUUGGUGCAUGUUGAUUGUUAUGUAUGACCCUUAA